rnacentral:rRNA from 1 species
AGCGAACGCUGGCGGCAGGCUUAACACAUGCAAGUCGAGCGGGCAUCCUUGUGGUGUCCGCGGCAGACGGGUGAGUAACGCGUGGGAACGUGCCCUUCGGUUCGGAAUAACUCAGGGAAACUUGAGCUAAUACCGGUUACGUGCGAGAGCAGAAAGGUUUAUCUGCCGAAGGAUCGGCCCGCGUCUGAUUAGCUAGUUGGUGAGGUUACGGCUCACCAAGGUGACGAUCAGUAGCUGGUCUGAGAGGAUGAUCAGCCACACUGGGACUGAGACACGGCCCAGACUCCUACGGGAGGCAGCAGUGGGGAAUAUUGGACAAUGGGGGCAACCCUGAUCCAGCCAUGCCGCGUGAGUGAUGACGGCCUUAGGGUUGUAAAGCUCUUUUCUCCGGGACGAUAAUGACGGUACCGGAGGAAUAAGCCCCGGCUAACUUCGUG